rnacentral:lncRNA from 1 species
AAGUAUUUUCCUUUAUACAGCCUUCAUUGUGCAAGAUUAGAGGAACUAAUUAUGCAAACAAAAACAUCUUUAAAUUGUCCCAUCUCUAUGUUAAGCACAUGAAAGAUGAUUGAUACAAAAAAAUUACAAUUUCAUAUGAACCAUGAAAAACACUGCGUGUACUGUAUUAUAACAUCAGAACGCAGCUUAUUGAAAUCAGCACUCAAGAGAAACAAGACCAAAAUGUGAAAGGCAUGUGUUCAUAAUAAAAUCAACAAGCACAAACAAAAGAAGGAGAUGUAACAAACUGAAAGUUUUCAAAGCCUCUCUCUAGCAAUGAGAAGAGUAAGCAGAAGGGGGAAAAUUCCAGUGAUCACUGCAUGAUGGUUGUUGAGUCUACUUGCAUGACUAGAAGGUGGUUCUACAGGAGCCAAGUCAUGAUGAUGACCCUCAUGAGCAGCUACAACUGCAACCAAAACAAUGACAAGGACCAUCAAGAAUGAUAAUUUCACUUGUGAAACCAUGGUUGCAAGGUUCUCAGAU